ACGAACGCUGGCGGCAGGCCUAACACAUGCAAGUCGAACGCUCUCUUCGGAGGGAGUGGCGCACGGGUGAGUAACGCGUGGGGAAUUGCCCUGGGGUAGGGAAUAACCAUUGGAAACGAUGGCUAAUACCGUAUACGCCUUGAGAGGGAAAGAUUUAUCGCCCUGGGAUAUACCCGCGUUGGAUUAGGUAGUUGGUGAGGUAAAGGCUCACCAAGCCGACGAUCCAUAGCUGGUCUGAGAGGAUGAUCAGCCACACUGGGACUGAGACACGGCCCAGACUCCUACGGGAGGCAGCAGUGGGGAAUAUUGGACAAUGGGGGCAACCCUGAUCCAGCCAUGCCGCGUGAGUGAAGAAGGCCUUCGGGUUGUAAAGCUCUUUCAACGGUGACGAUGAUGACGGUAGCCGUAGAAGAAGCCCCGGCUAACUUCGUGCCAGCAGCCGCGGUAAUACGAAGGGGGCAAGCGUUGUUCGGAUUUACUGGGCGUAAAGGGCGUGUAGGCGGAUAUGCAAGUUAGAGGUGAAAGCCCCGGGCUCAACCUGGGAACUGCCUUUAAAACUGCAUAUCUAGAGUACGGAAGAGGAUAGUGGAAUACCCAGUGUAGAGGUGAAAUUCGUAGAUAUUGGGUAGAACACCAGUGGCGAAGGCGACUGUCUGGUCCGUUACUGACGCUGAGGCGCGAAAGCGUGGGGAGC
rnacentral:rRNA from 1 species